rnacentral:misc_RNA from 1 species
AACCAGCUGGCUCUGCUAUGGUGGUAAUUUUUAUUUUAAUUGUCCCCGAAUUUUCCAAAUUAAUAUGCUUGCACAAGGGUAGUACUGAGAUGGGUGCUUCUUGGGAAGAAGUCUUGCACUCAUUUUCUCACUGAGGGUGAGCCUUGGUGCAAUAGUAAUGUUAAUUUAAACGUGACAUGGUAGUUAUGCAUUCAAAAUACAGAAACAACCUCCUUCAAAUGCAAGGAGAAUAUUGUGUCAUUUGAGUUGGCAAUAUUUGGAACCUACAAUAUGGGAGGCUUGUCCAUUGGAACUACCUUUUUCCUGGACUUUUGUCGACUUGGCAAUUUGCAUGUGUACUAUCAUUCACUUUUGACUUGUGCCUUUG